ACUCUGGGGAGACUGCCGGUGACAAACCGGAGGAAGGUGGGGACGACGUCAAGUCAUCAUGGCCCUUACGGCCAGGGCUACACACGUGCUACAAUGGUGCAUACAGACGGUUGCCAAGCUGUGAAGUGGAGCUAAUCUGAGAAAGUGCAUCGUAGUCCGGAUUGGAGUCUGCAACUCGACUCCAUGAAGUCGGAAUCGCUAGUAAUCGUGAAUCAGAAUGUCACGGUGAAUACGUUCCCGGGCCUUGUACACACCGCCCGUCACACCAUGGGAGUGGGUUGCUCCAGAAGUGGUUAGCCUAACCUUCGGGAGGGCGAUCACCACGGAGUGAUUCAUGACUGGGGUGAAGUCGUAACAAGGUAACA
rnacentral:rRNA from 1 species